UAAUACGGAGGGGGCAAGCGUUGUUCGGAUUUACUGGGCGUAAAGGGAGCGUAGGCGGUUGAUCAAGUCCGGUGUGAAAGCUUCACCACUCAACGGGAAGAGGUCACUGGAAACUGGUCGGCUAGAGUAAGGUAGAGGCAAGCGGAAUUCCUGGUGUAGCGGUGGAAUGUGUAGAUAUCAGGAAGAACAUCUGUGGCGAAGGCGGCUUGCUGGGCCUUUACUGACGCUGAGGCUCGAAAGCGUGGGGAGCAAACGGGAUUAGAUACCCCGGUAGUCCACGCUGUAAACGGUGAGCACUAGGUGUGGGGGGUAUCGACCCCUCCCGUGCCGUAGUUAACACAUUAAGUGCUCCGCCUGGGGAGUACGGCCGCAAGGUUG
rnacentral:rRNA from 1 species